UAUGAUAUCUAGUGAAAUUACCAAAAUAAAAGUGAAAUAUCGCUCCCUAGGAAUCACCAAAUUUUUAGUCGACUAUCCGAACAUAUUCGAAUGGCUGUGACACGGAGUACAAACCUACGCGACUGUCGCCAACAAAUAUUGAUAGCCACUAUUGAAAGCUAGAGGUUGAUAUCCACUUAGCACGGAAUUCCGCUGCUGGUGCAAGAACUACAUGAACACAAAACACAUAUAAACUCCUGGACAAAAUUAUCCCACCACUUGAUUUUUAGAGAUUUUUUUUUUUAAUAAAGAUAAAAAAAAAUGAAUAACUUAUGCAUUAUUUAUUAACAAAAUAUUAUAUCGUCCGUGAGCCUGCAAUAUCUCCUAACUAGCAUUUUCAGCAAAAAUGACUUUUAGGCAACCCAACAGUCUUUACGUUACUGCGCAUGAACUCACAAUUUCUCUCGACUGUCAAAAAUUUUUUCGCGCGUAAAAUUGCCUUGUGGCAAUAUCUCCUAAUGAAUUGGUACGUUUUUUGGACGCAAUUUCUCCUAACUGCAGUUUAUCCACGCUUUCGAGCAAGAACUUGUUGUCGGCAGAUUUGAGCUUCAUUUUUCUAGUUUGUGAUAAUAGUUACUUGUGCAAAAGUGUUUUUUUAAUAAAAAUAGGAAGUAUUAGUUGUAUAGGUAAGUUUUUCCUUUCAAUAUUAGGAAAAUUUAAAUACAAAACUAAUUAAAAUAUUUUUUGAUGUAGAUAGGAGGUUUUGCGUUAGUGAUGGGCAUAGCCUUCGUGUGUAGUUAGGAGUAAUUUUAUGUUUUAUUUUUUAGGAAAAAAUGAGUCGUUCUAAGAAAAUUUUGGAUUUGGCAAGAAAUAUAAAUUUAAUUAGAGAUGCGCCCAUGGAAGUUGAAGGAAUAAAUAUAGUGGAAAACCCACAAAAUAGUGUCGUUGUGCUUGGUAAGUAGUACAGUUGUCGGCAAAAAAAUCGGAACAAUCUAAGAAAAAUAUUUGAAAAUAAUUAAAAUUACUAUAAACUCUUUAAUACAUUUUUCAUGACUUUUUAGAUACCGAUGAAACUUUUAAAUAGUUCGGGGCCUUAUUAUGAAGAUUUCGCACAAAUAACUGAUGAUGUGCUGCAAAACAGUUAUUCCGACAUAUUCACAGAUCCGGUUCUGGAAGAGACACUGCCGCCUGAUAACAGUCGUGAUUUCUCUAAAGCCACAAAUUGCAGUUCUGACAAUGCAGGUGACGAUUACGUACCUUCAGAUAUAUCAUCAACAUCUGAUGAAAGUGUUUCUGCUGCGAGUUUACUAUCAGAUAAACAUGAAGUCUCAGAAAUACAAAUCUGCUAAGAAGUUGAGACUUUUGGGAGACAUAAUGAAGGCGUCCAAGCAGACGUUGACUCGGACGUUGAUAUGGUAGAGAAUAAUCAGAACUUCGAAAUAGAGAAUGCUGAUGCACUGGAAAAUCCAGAUGGUCAAGAAAUCUUCGAUGCACCAGGAGAAAGGAAAAGAAGAAUAACAGCUGAUCAAAGUCAAUGGAUAAGAGAAAGAACCAAAAAUUUACGUGUGCGAGGUAAAAAAUACGUCGGAUUUUCAAGAGAGAAUGGAAAAUAUAAGCAAAAUAUAAACAGAGGAGAAAGAAAACUAAAAGGUGGAUGUAAUUCAAAUUUCUGUAGAAAGUCAAAAGUAAGAAAAUGUUUUCAAAUUACGGAAGCUCAGAGAGAAGUAGUUUUUUAAAAAAAGUAGUAAGUUUUUAAUUACUUUUGGAGCGAAAUGUCGUGGCAUCAGAAAAAGGUUUACGUUGCUUCAACUGUCGAAAAAAUUUCCGUGAAACGUAAAACGCAAGAAAACUCAAGACGAAGACAGGGGACUUUUGUGUAUUAUCUAAAUGUUGACAAUAAAAAGCUCCAGGUAUGUCCCACAAUGUUUCUAAACACCCUUGCUCUUGGAUACAAAACAGUCCAAGACUGGGUGAACAGUAGUGAAUCAGGCAUGCACCAGGAUGAAGGCCGUAAAAUAACUAAAAAGCGAGAAAUUGCUUUACGCAGCAGUUCAAGUAUACAGCACGUUGAUACGUUUUUAAAUUCCUUACCUAAGCUACCCUCUCACUAUAAUAGAAAAAAAUCAAAAAAGCUGUUUUUGGAGCCAGUAUUUAAAACAAAACUUGAACUUUUUAAGGUUUAUCAAGAGUUUUGCUCAG